GGUGGGGUGCCCGAGCGGUCAAAGGGAGCAGACUGUAAAUCUGCCGCGCUUACGCGCUACGAAGGUUCGAAUCCUUCCCCCACCA
rfam:Gemmatimonadetes bacterium 13_1_40CM_4_69_5 13_1_40cm_4_scaffold_4038, whole genome shotgun sequence.